rnacentral:rRNA from 1 species
GUAAAAGUCGUAACAAGGUCUCCGUUGGUGAACCAGCGGAGGGAUCAUUACUGAGUUUACGCUCUACAACCCUUUGUGAACAUACCUAUAACUGUUGCUUCGGCGGGUAGGGUCUCCGUGACCCUCCCGGCCUCCCGCCCCCGGGCGGGUCGGCGCCCGCCGGAGGAUAACCAAACUCUGAUUUAACGACGUUUCUUCUGAGUGGUACAAGCAAAUAAUCAAAACUUUUAACAACGGAUCUCUUGGUUCUGGCAUCGAUGAAGAACGCAGCGAAAUGCGAUAAGUAAUGUGAAUUGCAGAAUUCAGUGAAUCAUCGAAUCUUUGAACGCACAUUGCGCCCGCCAGCAUUCUGGCGGGCAUGCCUGUUCGAGCGUCAUUUCAACCCUCAAGCUCUGCUUGGUGUUGGGGCCCUACAGCUGAUGUAGGCCCUCAAAGGUAGUGGCGGACCCUCCCGGAGCCUCCUUUGCGUAGUAACUUUACGUCUCGCACUGGGAUCCGGAGGGACUCUUGCCGUAAAACCCCCAAUUUUCCAAAGGUUGACCUCGGAUCAGGUAGGAAUACCCGCUGAACUUAAGCAU